GGAGCGGGAAAGGGAAACUAGAAAGUGAAUCUGAUCCCCGACUAGGCGGAGUCCAGCUCCGGGAAACAGAAACUUCUGGAAGAGCUGAGUGGGGGCGCCCCCCGGCCGGGCUGAGGAACCGCUGUGAGAGGAAAAAUUCUCCCACAUGUGUUUAGAUUGCCUCCAGGAUGGGGCCUAAAACAGAACUGGAGAUACUUCCUCAUUUCUCCUAAUGGACAUCAGAAAAGGAGAGAGAACAUGGAUGGAUGCACAAGAUGUAACAAGAUCUGCUUCUGUGGAGGGCAGGGCUGUUUCAACUUGUCUUGGAGGAGACAGUGUUAAGAUGUUACCGACAAGACCAGAAACUAUAAAACUCCUAGAGGAGAACAUAGGCAAAACACUCUCUGACAUACAUCACAGCAGGAUCCUCUAUGACCCACCUCCCAGAAUAUUGGAAAUAAAAGCAAAAAUAAACAAA